rnacentral:rRNA from 1 species
CCUACGGGUGGGGCAGCAGUGAGGAAUAUUGGUCAAUGGACGAGAGUCUGACCCAGCCAAGUAGCGUGAAGGAUGACUGCUCUAUGGGUUGUAAACUUCUUUUAUAUGGGAAUAAACCGUUCCACGUGUGGGAUUUUGUAUAUACCAUAUGAAUAAGGACCGGCUACCUCCGUGCCAGCAGCCGCGGUAAUACGGAGGAUCCGAGCGUUAUCCGGUUUUAUUUGGUUUAAAGGGAGCGUAGGUGGAUUGUUAAUUCACUUGUGAAAUUGUGCGGCUCAACCGUAAUAUCGCAGUUGAAACUGUCAGUCGUGAGUAGAGUAGAGGUAGGCGGAAUGCGUGGUGGAGCGGUGAAAUGCUUAGAUAUCACGAAGAACUCCGAUUGCGAAGGCAGUUCACUGGACUGCAACUGACACUGAGGCUCGAAAGUGUGGGUAUCAAACAGGAUUAGAUACCCCAGUAGUC